CUUGUGAUGCAGAUAAGUCACUUAGAGGGCUUAUUAUAUUGGGAAUAAUCCUUAGGUUGGGUUAUGUACGUGUUGGGCCUUUGAUCCCAUGGGUUUACUUUGUAAUUGGCCAAUUUAAUGAGUCUAAAAUAUAGGAAGAAAUAGGAAUACGGGAUUUACUUCAUUAGUUUAGUUAGAGUCUUGUUAUGAGUCUGUUUCUUUCAUUAUUUUAGUUUCCUAGUCAGUUUAUGUUACCUUAUAAGUUAAUGAUUGUGUUAGGCCUAUCCUUUUUAGUGUUUGAGUCUGGUUUUGAGACUUCUAUGUAAGUUUAUAAGGGGCUACAGCCUUAUAUACGAAUUUGAUUAAUGA